UACGGAGGGUGCGAGCGUUGUUCGGAAUCACUGGGCGUAAAGCGCGUGUAGGCGGCUUCUUAAGUCUGGUGUGAAAUCCCGGGGCUCACCCCCGGAAGUGCACUGGAUACUGGGAAGCUCGAGUACCGGAGAGGAGGGUGGAAUUCCUGGUGUAGCGGUGAAAUGCGUAGGUAUCAGGAGGAACACCUGUGGCGAAGGCGGCCCUCUGGACGGAUACUGACGCUGAGACGCGAAAGCGUGGGGAGCGAACAGG
rnacentral:rRNA from 1 species